AAUCAAGAUACUAAGUUAAAUUUGAACUUCUGAUGAACAAUAUUUUUUUAGUAUAAGGAUGCUACAUGCAUUAUUUGGGACAUACUUAUACAAAAAAAUUAUUUGUUGUUUAUCUGAACUUCAGAUUUCACUGGCAUUCUGUAAUUU
ensembl:miRNA